UUCCCCGGGGCAGAGGUCCUUUCAUGGACAGAGGCAGCCAUGUGCACCGAGGCUAUGGGAUUAGGCAUGUGUUUGGGUUCCCAGUCAAGUUGGGGCUCAGAAAGACUUCCACAACUCAUUUUCACACGAGGACCAUUGUGGGAGGAAAGUGGAAAUCUGCUGGGCUUUCUGGAGCUAUUUUACACACUGUCACUUAUUUGUGAUUGAUUGAGGGGGGACCUUGCCGUUCUCUAGGCUCUGGGCAGCCACCACUUCUUUGCUUUUCCCCGGCAGGGGGCGCUGUGGAGCAGAGGGCAGGGAACUUACCCACAGGCAGCUGAGGCGGUCCCAGGCCACGCGCAGGUUCCACCGCGCUCGCCGGGCCCUCGCUGCCCAGCCCUGGCUGGAACGUGGCAGCCACAGACCUAGGAACGCACGCCUUUGUGAAUGCACAGACAGGGGCGGCGGUCUCCAGGAGGGGACUGGGCGACGUUCUCCUCUGCGACCCGAGACCCCUGGCAGGCCGGCCUUGCUCAGGAGACUCAGAAGUGGAUACUGUGGUCCUGUCUUCACAGGCUCCCUGGCCUUCUGGCUUCCUGUCGGGUUUGGCCAAUGGCAGGGGCCAGCAGGGGACUUGCAGGGCGAGAGGUAGGACAGCCCCACCACGCUUGGACGAAAGGCCCCUCUUCAAAGUCCCUCGACCCACCUAGGUCAGAUUCUGUUUUCUUCUGGGACCCGACGGCCACAGCCUCUUCCCACCCUUCCUCUGUGCCACGCAGGUGACCCUGAAUCAGAGCUAUGGGGACUCUGUCCCGGGAGGGAAGCCAGCGUUCAUUUCAGUUUGGCACCAGCAGCUGCACCCAUGCUGCAUCUUUGUGCAGAAGCCAACAGCCAGCCCUCCCCUGGCUCUGCGCCACUGCCGGCCUCUCGCUGCCACCCCAGCUCAAGGAGCCCCUGCCAAGGACUACGGGGUGCUGGGGACACCAGGUCACCCGUCCAGAGGUGGCAGCAGAGCCCCUGCUCUGGGUCUUUUCUGUCCUCACUGUGCGCUCGGCUGCACGAAGAGAAGGUUGUCUCUGUCCAGCUCCUCUUCAAGGGGACCAAAGCUUCAGGGUGCCCGGCCUCAAUGCCGUCACUGCCCUGACUGGCUCCAUGCCACGUUCACCGGCGCCUGCAGCGUCUCUGGUACCAGCACAGAAUCAGGCACUGCCUCCAGGUCCCCAGGAGUUCGACUUCCUCCCAGUCUCUUCCAGGGACCCCGUGCCAGUGUCUGUCUGGGACCCCAAGCAGGAGCCCAGCACCUUUCUUCUGAGGCAGGACAAACUCCCAGCUCCCUCUGGGCCCAGCCUGAGGCCGAGCUGGAUCUGCAGCUUGCUCAGCUUCUUCCUUUCCCUCUCUGUGGGACUGUUUUCUGAAUAAAUCACUUAUAUCUGGCCCCUUGGUUUAGGUGGUCUUCUAGGGCUUUCAAGAAAGCUCUUUUAAAAAAAGACUGACUCAGCCAGGCAUGGUGGUGCACACCUGUAAUCCCAGCACUCAAGAGGCUGAGGGAGGA
ensembl:lncRNA